CCCUUAGAUGUUCUGGGCCGCACGCGCGCUACACUGACGAAUGCAACGAGCUUAUAACCUUGGCCGAAAGGUCUGGGUAAUCUCCAAAUUUCGUCGUGAUGGGGAUAGAUUAUUGCAAUUAUUAAUCUUCAACGAGGAAUGCCUAGUAAGCGCAAGUCAUCAGCUUGCGUUGAUUACGUCCCUGCCCUUUGUACACACCGCCCGUCGCUCCUACCGAUUGAAUGAUCCGGUGAGGCCCCCGGAAUGUGGUCACGGCUUUGGUUCGCCAAACUGAGAUCGCGUGAAGCUGUCCAAACCUUAUCAUUUAGAGGAAGGAGAAGUCGUAACA
rnacentral:rRNA from 1 species